UAAGCAUAUCAAUAAGCGGAGGAAAAGAAACUAACAAGGAUUCCCCUAGUAACUGCGAGUGAAGCGGGAAAAGCUCAAAUUUAAAAUCUGGCGGUCCUUGCGGCUGUCCGAAUUGUAAUCUGGAGAAGUGCUUUCCGCGCUGGACCGUGUACAAGUCUCUUGGAACAGAGCGUCGUAGAGGGUGAGAAUCCCGUCUUUGACACGGACUACCAGUGCUUUGUGAUGCGCUCUCGAAGAGUCGAGUUGUUUGGGAAUGCAGCUCAAAAUGGGUGGUAAAUUCCAUCUAAAGCUAAAUAUUGGCGAGAGACCGAUAGCGAACAAGUACCGUGAGGGAAAGAUGAAAAGAACUUUGGAAAGAGAGUUAAACAGUACGUGAAAUUGCUGAAAGGGAAACACUUGAAGUCAGUCGCGUUGGCCGGGACUCAGCCUUGCUUUUGCUUGGUUUAUUUUCUGGUUGACGGGUCAGCAUCAGUUUUGAUCGUCGGACAAUGAUUAGAGGAAUGUGGCAUCUUCGGAUGUGUUAUAGCCUUUGGUCGCAUGCGAUGGUUGGGACUGAGGAUCUCAGCGCGCCUUUAUGGUCGGGGUUCGCCCACGUUUGCGCUUAGGAUGCUGGCAUAAUGGCUUUAAAUGACCCGUCUUGAAACACGGACCAAGGAGUCUAACAUGCAUGCGAGUGUUUGGGUGGAAAACCCGAGCGCGCAAUGAAAGUGAAAGUUGAGACCUCUGUCGUGGAGGGCAUCGACGCCCGGACCAGACCUUUUGUGACGGCCCUGCGGUAGAGCAUGUAUGUUGGGACCCGAAAGAUGGUGAACUAUGCCUGAAUAGGGUGAAGCCAGAGGAAACUCUGGUGGAGGCUCGUAGCGAUUCUGACGUGCAAAUCGAUCGUCAAAUUUGGGUAUAGGGGCGAAAGACUAAUCGAACCAUCUAGUAGCUGGUUCUGCCG
rnacentral:rRNA from 1 species